CAGGACAGAGGGGCAGUAGUGGUCAGGCGAGCAGACGACGCGCAGCCAGUCAGAUAGCUGCGAGUAAGUGAACCACGGGACGCGGGAGGCGGCCAGUUGCGAUGUACUACAAGAGUUAAGGUGUUUCAAUGGUCAGUCGCGGCCCCGGUGGGCACGUAUAAGCCGGAGAGUGAUGCGAGUGGUGCACUGUGAGAUAAAGCGAACAAAGUGUUGCCAACUUAGUGUUAUGGAGAAAGGUGCUGCGAAAGUGAGACAAGCAAGUGUGAAAGGCGCAAGUCGCCUCUAGACAUCUGCACAGGCGCCGCGCCGCUGAAGGCUGCCAGGGUGGCGGGCGCGCCCAGGUGGUGCAAAGCGUGAUGGGCGGCAAAUAAGACCACGAGGCACCACUGACGCCCCUCAUGACCCGAAGCAGGUGGGGGGCGGCCCGCCUGGCCACAUUGCUGCUGCUGGCCAUGGUGGGCGUCGCUGGAGAGGCCAUGCCCGCACCCCCAGUCCCCCCUACCAAUCACACCGUAGAGGAUGACUACGAGUACUACUAUGACUAUGACUAUUACUAUGAUGAGGAUGGAUCCAGGAAGCUAAAUAUGAGCGAAUUUCGCCUGCCGAAGGAGCAGAGGCGGAUUGGCGAACCUUACGUGCCUCGCUACAUGUUGGAGUUGUACGCCGAGCAGAGUCUUAGCAGGCAGACGCCGCUGCCUGGCGCCGAUCUUGUCAGGAGCUUCACUGCCGUCAACACAGAGAGCCAUGCCGGUGACCCGGACGUUGGGGGCAGGGCAGCGAGGAAGCACACGCUGGGCUUCAACGUGACGGCACCGCGGGGAGAGACAGUCACCAACGCCACACUGCGUCUGUAUACCAUCAUCACCCGUGACCAAUACGCCUAUAUCGGAGUGGAGCGUCGCGUGCGAGUGGAAAUGACUCUGCCCCGCGACGAGGCCUUGCACGGGAGUCACGUGACGGAAGAGGACCUGAUGACUGUGAAGGUGUGUGAAAAAGACAUUUAUGAGCUGCACAACGCUUGGGAAACCUUCGACGUGACCUUCGCCGUGAGGCACUGGCUGGCGCACCCUUCCCGUCCCCAGCUCCUGCAGAUCUAUAUUGAAUCAGUGUUUUCAACUGUUGGAAGUGGUGGCGAAAUGGAUGUGGCCACCAUGCCUCUGACGGAUAGUGAACCACUUCUCCUCCUCUACUCCUCCGUCAGACACCGCAAACAGUCGCGUCAUGAACUCAAUGUCAUGAUUUCGCAUGAAAACGACAUUCAAAACAAAAUCCAGAGUAGGAGAAAGAAGCGGUCAUUAGAAAAAUUGCAGAAGGUUCGAGUGCGAAGAAAUGCAGCGGAGAUUCAAGAGGAGGAGAGCAACAUGAUCUGGGAGGGGGAGCUGGUGGUGCCAGGCUUGCCUCAGCAUGCCCAUAACUCACUGGGAGGUAAGAUCGAGGAAGAGGACGCCGGGGGCGCAGAAGAAGGGCUAAAAACGGAUGUAAAAAGAAGCCACUGCGGGUAGACUUCAAAGACAUUGGGUGGGAUGACUGGAUCAUUGCACCAGUCUCCUAUGAGGCAAAUCAGUGCACCGGGAAGUGUUUCUACCCACUGGCAUCUCACCUGAGCCCAACAAAGCAUGCUGUGGUGCAGACUCUGAUGAAUUCAGUACAUCCAGACCGCAGCCCCCGUGCCUGCUGUGUUCCCACCAAGCUGGGAC
rnacentral:misc_RNA from 1 species